AGAGUUUGAUCCUGGCUCAGGACGAACGCUGGCGGCGCGCUUAACACAUGCAAGUCGAGCGAUGAAAUUUUGACAGAUCCCUUCGGGGUGAAGACAAAAUGGAUUAGCGGCGGACGGGUGAGUAACACGUGAGUAACCUGCCUUAGACAUUGGGAUAGCCUCGGGAAACCGGGAUUAAUACCGAAUAAAAUCAUAGGUGCACAUGCACUAAUGAUCAAAACUCCGGUGGUCUAAGAUGGACUCGCGUCCCAUUAGCUAGUUGGUAGGGUAACGGCCUACCAAGGCGACGAUGGGUAGCCGGCCUGAGAGGGUGAACGGCCACAUUGGAACUGAGAAACGGUCCAAACUCCUACGGGAGGCAGCAGUGGGGAAUAUUGCACAAUGGAGGGAACUCUGAUGCAGCGACGCCGCGUGAACGAAGAAGGCUUUCGAGUCGUAAAGUUCUUUUAUAUGGGAAGAUAAUGACGGUACCAUAAGAAAAAGCCCCGGCUAACUACGUGCCAGCAGCCGCGGUAAUACGUAGGGGGCUAGCGUUGUCCGGAAUCACUGGGCGUAAAGGGUUCGCAGGCGGAAAUGCAAGUCAGGUGUAAAAGGCAGUAGCUUAACUACUGUAAGCAUUUGAAACUGCAUAUCUUGAGAAGAGUAGAGGUAAGUGGAAUUUUUAGUGUAGCGGUGAAAUGCGUAGAUAUUAAAAAGAAUACCGGUGGCGAAGGCGACUUACUGGGCUCAUUCUGACGCUGAGGAACGAAAGCGUGGGUAGCAAACAGGAUUAGAUACCCUGGUAGUCCACGCUGUAAACGAUGAGUGCUAGGUGUCGGCGUAAGUCGGUGCCGCAGUUAACACAAUAAGCACUCCGCCUGGGGAGUACGUGCGCAAGCAUGAAACUCAAAGGAAUUGACGGGGACCCGCACAAGCAGCGGAGCAUGUGGUUUAAUUCGAAGCAACGCGAAGAACCUUA
rnacentral:rRNA from 1 species